AGUGGGGGAUAUUGCGCAAUGGGGGAAACCCUGACGCAGCGACGCCGCGUGUAGGAAGAAGGCCUUCGGGUCGUAAACUACUGUCAAGAGGGAAGAAACUGUUGGACAUUAAUACGGUCCUUCACUGACGGUACCUCUAGAGGAAGCACCGGCUAACUCCGUGCCAGCAGCCGCGGUAAUACGGAGGGUGCGAGCGUUAAUCGGAAUCACUGAGCGUAAAGCGUGCGUAGGCGGCGUAUCAAGUCAGGCGUGAAAGCCCUCGGCUCAACCGGGGAAUUGCGCUUGAAACUGGUAUGCUAGAGUCUCGGAGAGGUUGGCGGAAUUCCAGGUGUAGGAGUGAAAUCCGUAGAUAUCUGGAGGAACACCGGUGGCGAAGGCGGCCAACUGGACGAGUACUGACGCUGAGGUACGAAAGCGUGGGUAGCAAACAGGAUUAGAUACCCUGGUAGUCCACGCUGUAAGCGAUGGAUAUUAGGUGUCGGGGUUUUACUUCGGUGCCGCAGUUAACGCGUUAAAUAUCCCGCCUGGGGAGUACGGUCGCAAGGCUG
rnacentral:rRNA from 1 species